ensembl:lncRNA
AAACAACUGGUGAAUAUACCAUUAGAGCUACUUAUUUGACAGUCUGCAUGAAGCCAGAGGAACAUGCAGUUAACAACAUACAAGAAAUCUCCCCAUCUAGACAGAGUUUGGAAGGAGAGACAGCUUCAUCCUGAUUGCUCCCCAAGCUCCCAUUUGUGAGCUCCACUGAACAAGACACGUUUCUUCAAAAGGCUGAACAAUGCUCAGACAGAUGGAUUCAUAAGAGUACAGGCAUAUUGCAAGAGAGAUUUCUGCAGAAAGAUCACUGGAGAAACUUGAGAGCUUCCCUCCUGAUUGUGAGGAGAGUGUGAGGAAGUAUUUGGCUUUCUAAGUAGCUCUAGCAGACACGCAAACUAGCAGAAACUCAUCAGAAUGACUAGACUCAAAACAGGAAAUUAACACCCUGCGGUGUGGCGGCAAGGCCUCAGAGGAAGCAGCGGUGGGGUACACGAGGCUGAGGAUGAACAAAGACCCAUAAACAUAACGUCACCCAUAAAAGUCACACUUGAAGGCACAGGAAGGAUACUAAACAACACUUGGCUGCAUUACAUUCUUGCAGUUAAAAAAAAAAAAAAGUGCCUCAGGUUGAGAGGCAAAGAGUUUACGAGGCAGUUAUUUUCUGGGGUUUUGCUACUAUAUUUUUAUUUUGAGCAGCGGAGUUCAAAGUUCGGCAUAGGAAAUACCCCACAAGCUCCCAAAUGUUAGGUUUCCACUUGACACGUGGCUCAAGGCUAAGAUACUGCUUUUUAUCUACCUCCCUGUUUAUUUGGGCUAUUUCCUCUUCAGAAGCGUUUCGACUUUUCUACGGGCAGCUGGAUGGAUUUCUAAUGUUACCAUGGUAUUGCUGACCUUUAACAUGGGGCUGUUAACGUGACCUUUGCUUCUUUCCAUUUCUACAAG